UACGGAGGAUGCGAGCGUUAUCCGGAUUUAUUGGGUUUAAAGGGUGCGUAGGCGGACUGUCAAGUCAGCGGUAAAAUUGAGAGGCUCAACCUCUUCCCGCCGUUGAAACUGGUGGUCUCGAGUGGAUGAGAAGUAUGCGGAAUGCGUGGUGUAGCGGUGAAAUGCAUAGAUAUCACGCAGAACCCCGAUUGCGAAGGCAGCAUGCCGGCUUCCUACUGACGCUGAAGCACGAAAGCGUGGGGAUCGAACAGG
rnacentral:rRNA from 1 species